rnacentral:rRNA from 1 species
AUGCUUCGAGAUGUUAGAGCUCAAAAGGUUUUGGAAGCACUUGAAAUGGGUGAGAUUGAAAGUGGAAGUGGGCUAAAUCAAGAGAUGGGACUAGCUAGACCCGGCGAUACUCGUUGGGGUUCUCAUUUUAAAACCAUUAUGCACAUUGUUAGCAUGUAUUCCACAAUCCUUGAAGUACUUGAUGCUAUUGGAAAAGAUCCUUCACAAAAACAUGACUGGACAAGAAUACGUGGAGUUGCUCAAGCCAUUGAAUCAUUUGACUUUGUUUUCAAUCUUCACUUGAUGCUUGUUAUUCUUGGCUAUACAAAUGAGUUGUCCAAAUCUUUGCAAAAGAGAGAU